rnacentral:tRNA from 1 species
GGGGUUGUGGCUCAGAGGUAGAGCUCUGGCCUACCAUGCUUGAGGCACUGGGUUCCAUCCCCAGCACCA